AGGGUUCAGGCGGAGAAGGCGGCUCCCGGGCGGGGUCAGACUGCGGUGAGAUGGCCGGCGCAGGCCACCAACCCAAUGCAGCCCAGGGCGGCGGCAACAGCCAGAGCAGCGGCGAACAGGAGCAAGGAACGCGCCUCCGAUAGAGACCUGUGUUGAUUGGCUGCCCGAGAACCCUCCCCUCCCCACCGCUGGCCGAGCCCCGCAGAGGCGCUGCUAAGCAGAGGCGAUUUCGGCUGCCGGACGUGCGCCUCCAGGUCGCGGUUCCGAGCCUGGGCCUCCCGGAGUUGACUGCGGGGAGGUGAGGACCGUGAGCCCUUGAGGCUCUGGCUUGAGAGGCUGCUAAAGGUGGUGACUGCCCCCGGGCCCCGACCCCGACCUGGCGAAGUUCUGGUUGGCCUUAUGGAUGGCCGCUAGCUCCUGGCUCAGGCUCUGCCGGGUCAGCACCUCCUCCUCCAGGGCCUCCUGGAGCUCCCGCAGCGUCACCUCCGGCUCUGCCACCACCUCCGGAAUGGUCUCCGGAACUGCCGCUUCAGCCUGGGUCACGUAGCCCCCUCCUCCAGGAAGCCCUCCAGGACCUUUCAUGCUACAUCAGGAGGCACGCCCCCUGCACCUCCCCGCCCGUCUCAGCCCUGAUCCCUCUGGGGCGUCACUGUCAGGGACAAGUCUGGGUCUCCCACUGGACUGUGAGUCUAGGUCACUGCUGGCUUCCCAGUACUUGGCCCCCACAGAGCAGGGGUUCUGGGGAAGCACUUAUUUCAGGACCCCAGGAGGAGGGUACUCUCCUAACCUCAGUGUUAUGGCGGAGGUAUGAGGGGUACCUUCUGCAGAGCUGGGGUCGCAGGUACCUACCCCGCCCCCGCUCACCAUGGCAGUGAGCCCGUCCUCCACCAUAUCGAAGUUGCACGUGUCCGUGGCACCCUCGAAAUCUGGCGUGAAAGGAGGAACGCUGUCUCGGAGGCUGUCCCAUUCAAGGCCAAAGAAGAAAGGAUGCUUCCGGAAAUCCCCUGCUCCGUUCCGGCCCAGGCGCACCUCCGGGGGACACAGCAGCUGCUGGAUGAGGUCUCGAGCCUCCUCGGGGACGCCUGUGUCGGCCAGCGGGAGAGAGAGGCCCCACCCUCUGAAGGAUCACAGCUCUCCGAUUCCCGCGCCCCUGGGCCCCGGCAGCGCCCACCUGUGCACGUAGCCCAGCCGGUGCACCGAGUCUAUGGCCAUGACAAUCUCGGCCAGGUAGAAGCGCGCCAUCUCGGCCGGUAUCCGCUCCCCAAACUUGCUCAGCAGCGUUAGCAGGUCCCCGCCCACGUAGUACUCCAUGACAAGGUACUGGGAGGGGGCGUGUUAUGGGGGUCGGUACCCCGACUGGGCACCGAUCUCUGACAUCCCAGGACAAAGACUCCCAGAGACGCCCCAUCUCUGGGCAGAGACCCCACAGGCGCAGCCACAAGAGAUUUCCCAGGCCAAAACAGACACCCUCCCCCACCCCCAAUCCUCGUUCCUCCAGGAUGUCACUAGACAGAAAUUCAUUCCCCACCAAGAGAGUCAGGGAGAAAGAGAACCCAAAGACCUUCCCCAAUGUCCAGAGUAUGGAACCCACAGUCGCCCAGCCUGGGGCUCACCAGGUAGUUCUCGUCCUGGAAGGCGAAGUGCAGCUGCGUGAUCCAGCGCUGGUCCCCGUUCACCAACACGUCCCUCUCUUCGCGGAAGCACGACACCUGCGGGACACCCGGAGCUGAAGCGGGCGGGGGAAGGGGGCGACGCAAGGGGGGAUCCUCAGUACCCUGCCCACCCAGCCCGGCCCUCACCUCGCCUCUCUUCAGCAUGUCCCAUUUAUUCAUGAUCUUCAUAGCAUACA